rnacentral:rRNA from 1 species
UACGUAGGGGGCAAGCGUUGUCCGGAAUUAUUGGGCGUAAAGAGCGCGUAGGCGGUCCGGUAAGUCGGUUGUGAAAGUCGGGGGCUCAACCCUCGGAUGCCGAUCGAUACUGUCGGGCUAGAGUCCGGAAGAGGCGAGUGGAAUUCCUGGUGUAGCGGUGAAAUGCGCAGAUAUCAGGAGGAACACCAAUGGCGAAGGCAGGUCUCUGGGCCACUACUGACGCUGAGAAGCGAAAGCAUGGGGGAGCGAACAGG